AAGUCGUAACAAGGUAACCGUAGGUGAACCUGCGGUUGGAUCAUUAUCACGUAUCCACGUUAUCAACCAACGCGAACUCUUUCCGGCUAGUAACCUCGGUGAACGCCUUUUCCGAUUUCUUCGAAUUAAUUUUCGUUGAAAUCGGAAUAAACUUUGAUUAACUAUCAACCCCCUUUAUACAUUAUUGUACUGAACUGUUUCUUCCUCUGCCUUCACUGCGCGGAGAAGAAAUCAAAUUACGAAACAAAGAACAACUCUUAGCAACGGAUAUCUUGGUUCUC
rnacentral:misc_RNA from 1 species